GAUGAACGCUGGCGGCGUGCCUAAUACAUGCAAGUCGAACGAACGGACGAGAAGCUUGUUCCCCUGAUGUUAGCGGCGGACGGGAGAGUAACACGUGUAUAACCUACCUAUAUGACUGGGAUAACUUCGGGAAACCGGAUCUAAUACCGGAUGAUAUUUUGAACCGCAUGGUUCAAAAGUAAAAGACGGUUUUUCUGUUACUUAUAGAUGGAUCCGCGCUGCAUUAGCUAGUUGGUAAGGUAACGGCCUACCAAGGCAACGAUGCAUAGCCGACCUGAGAGGGUGAUCGGCCACACUGGAACUGAGACACGGUCCAGACUCCUACGGGAGGCAGCAGUAGGGAAUCUUCCGCAAUGGGCGAAAGCCUGACGGAGCAACGCCGCGUGAGUGAUGAAGGUCUUCGGAUCGUAAAACUCUGUUAUUAGGAAAGAACAUAUGUGUAAGUAACUGUGCACAUCUUGACGGUACCUAAUCAGAAAGCCACGGCUAACUACGUG
rnacentral:rRNA from 1 species